UUUGAGAUUGCCUCCUUCCCCUUAAAAAUGUAAGGAUUUUUUUAAAUUUUUAGUGGAUUAUCUGAUAUUUGCAUAAUAUUCUUCCUGUCAUACUCUUGUUCUUUCAGUUGAUCCCAACUAACUGGUUAAAAAUGAGCUUCUGCUUGCUGCUUUCUAAAGAAGAAUGGCUUAGAAUGGAUUCCUUUCUGUGCUUUGGAGAAACUUGUUACUGAGUUGCCCUUGAACUAAAACACUGCAUGAAAGACACCACACUUCACUAAUACAAUUUCCCAAGAAUCAGCUCACCAAGAAGGCUUUAUCUUUUACAAAGUUUGCCCCAAGUUCUCAAAAAGGGCCAUGACUACUAAAAGAGGCUGAAACGUGGACCUGUGCCUUUGCCCUUACUGAAGCUCUUAUCAUGUGAAUGAGUAGAUCUCCCGGAAGAUCGCUGAAUAAUCUCAUAGAUAAGAGUGGACUACCCAUCCCCAACUGCCUGCCUACCUCUAGUCACUAUUUGGAUAGGGUAAGGUUUUGAGUGUAGAUAACCGGAGAAUGGUGAUACCACAGAGGAGGUAGUAUAAAAUUAUAUACAAAGAAAACCAGUUUUAUAUAUGAGGUGAUAGCAGUGCAUCUAUUAGGAAAUAUCCAUCUAGCAGAAAUGCAAAAUUAAAGCUCUGGGGAGCUUCAGGUUGGAGAUAUACACACAUGAGGCAUCUGAAAGAAAAGUUGAAACCAUGGGGAAAAGUAUAACAGAGAGGUAAAUGGAAAACAGGAAAACAGUGCUUUUGAAGGUCAAGGGAAGAGUUUUGACAAAAUAGGGGUCACUCAACAUGGGAAUAGGUGAGAGGAAAGGUAACUAUAGAAAGAGAUUAAACUUGAUUCUUAAGUUCAUGUUCUCUUUAUCUGUGUGUCCUCACAUCUAGCUUUACUUAAAAUCUUUUUUCCCCUAAAAUCUGAUCUUUUUUAUUUCUCUGUGUUGCCAAGACACUCAUCACAUCCUGCCUUGAUUUACACAAACUCCUUCUCACUGGCCUCUUUCUCAUCAGUUUCCUACUCCAGUCUUUGCCAAAUGUUACUGCCAAGUCCAUUUUCCUUUCCUGCUGUUCAGACUAUGUUUCUCCCACUCUGCUUUGGCUUCUCUUCACCUUCCAGCCUCCCCACAACUCUGCACCUGCUUACAACUCUUCCUCAUCCUUCCUACAGCCCCAUCCCACACCCCGCCUCCACUCCUUCCUCUGGCCCUCUCAUCUCCUCUGGCAUCUUUAACCACCAAAUUGAGGCACUCCAAGCUUCAGGCCAACACCCUACAUUAUCCCUCCCAGCAGAUCUCCCAACUCAUGCACAUCAACACAGCUCCUAUUUCUGCUGCAAAGAAGCCCAGUGUAUCUACUUCCUGUAUGAUGCUUGCUAGCUCUAAUAACAGAAUGCUAUGUGCUGCAUUCUCCCAGGGUAUGCAAAGGAGUAUUGCUUGGACUGUAUUCUUUCCUGUCCCCAUUACCUCUAGGGCCUUGUAUUGUUUGUUCUGGAACAACAUGAUUUCAUUACUGUCGGAUAAUUUGUUUCUUGUAAAGUACUUACUGGUGUUACCUUGGGGUGCUACAUAACAAUACAAAUCUCACAAUGCCUCGCUGAUGAGAGGGCCUAAACCCAACCAGUUUGUCCAAAAGUACCUUGAGUUUUUUUCUCAGUAGUUCAUGGGGAAAAAAAACCCCGUAUCUGUCAGGAAAAGGGAGAAAAUUAAUGUGCAGAAAGGAAGGUAUGAUGUUUCUAUUGUUCUCAACAAAUAACGUUCAUGGGAAAAAAACCCAUAUAUUUGAAUGAACCAGAAAUUCAAUGAGCAUUAUAGAUAAAAUAAUGUAAAAACUCCUUUCUAGGUAUGGAAGAUAUGUCUUGAAGGACAUAUCUUACUGUUAUCACAGAAAGCAAUUAUUUGCCUUGCUACCUCCAAAACUUUGCUCAUGCCAGUUUCAUUUAGCAUAUAUAUAAUAUAAUUCAUUUUAGAGAAAAUACUCACCAUAAAACUCAAAUAACUAAGAUGUAUAAGUAUAUAGGCAAGUAUGGAGAAAAAAACAUAUAUAUACAUCUCUAGGAGCAUGAUUAAAAUAA